rnacentral:rRNA from 1 species
GAUGAACGCUGGCGGCGUGCCUAAUACAUGCAAGUCGAGCGAACAGACGAGGAGCUUGCUCCUCUGACGUUAGCGGCGGACGGGUGAGUAACACGUGGAUAACCUACCUAUAAGACUGGGAUAACUUCGGGAAACCGGAGCUAAUACCGGAUAAUAUAUUGAACCGCAUGGUUCAAUAGUGAAAGACGGUUUUGCUGUCACUUAUAGAUGGAUCCGCGCCGCAUUAGCUAGUUGGUAAGGUAACGGCUUACCAAGGCAACGAUGCGUAUCCGACCUGAGAGGGUGGUCGGCCACCCUGGAACUUAGACACCGUCCAGACGCCUACGGGAGGGACCAGUAGGGAAUCGUCCGCAAUGGGCGGAAGCUUUGCGGAGCAACCCCGCGUGAGUGAUUGAGGUCUUCGGAUCGUAAAACUCUGUUAUUAGGGAAAAACAAAUGUGUAAGUAACUAAGCACGUCUUGACGGUACCUAAUCAGAAAGCCACGGCUAACUACGUG